rnacentral:misc_RNA from 1 species
AUAUAUAUGGAGGAAACAGAGUAGUAAGAUAACUUUUCCUUGUCUUAGCUUAAAACUAAAUGGCUACACAUUGGGAACUUCAUUUCUCUAUCUUAUCAAUAAAUCAUUGUAAUCUUGUGCCACUUUCUAGAACUCUAGAUCCCUUUUUUAUCUGUGGUUCUUUAGGAGGUAAAUGCUAAUGACUUGACGUAAAAAAUAAAGAGGCCCCACAAGGCUUUAUCUAUUGAUUGGUGUACUUCUUUGGGCUUGAGUAGAAUUGGAUUGGUACAGACACUUUGUUGAAUUGAAGCGGAGAGGAUUUGGUACCGUAGAAAGAAUGUCAAAAAGCCUUUGGAAUUGUGCUCCUUUCCCCCCUGUUUUGUGGAGUAUUUGUUAGGAGAGAAUGCCAUAUUUGUCAUUGGCCAGACUUUCGCUUGCAGUUUGUUAUGGGACUAGGUGGUUUUCCAGGGUUCUUUGUAGGCUUCUGCUUCAGGGGCUUUUAGAGUAUCUUUCUGUACAAUUGG